rnacentral:telomerase_RNA from 1 species
CGCACCCCUUGCUUGCAGUCACCUUGCUGUCCACCACGACAAGGCUGUGAGGCUCACAACCUCGUAACCCUAAAUCUAGGACUUCAGCUGCGCUUCUGUGCAGCCACACUCACGAGGCUUGCCCAACCUUUCCCUCGUCCAACGCCCCUGCCCACUCUCAAGAAGCGUCUGUGUGGCACAGGUGACUUCAAAUCCGGGAUGACCAGAGCUGAGGUGUUGCAGGAGCAAAGCGGGGCUUGCUGGAAGCAGGCUCUGUCCUCAAUGGCUUGGCCAUGCGCUCCUGCACGAAUCCGGGCCUGAUCAAGGGGGUGCUGCAUAUUG